rnacentral:piRNA from 1 species
UAACAGGAAACGUGCCGGAUGUCUGGAG